CUUGCAGGUGGCAGACAGAAGUACCUGGGGCGGAACAUUCUCAUUGUGAGUGGGAUUGUGUGGAUUGUGAUGAUUGUGUUGGUGGCAGUCUUCUGGAUUCAGAAGAAAAGGACAAAAGAGCCCUACAAAGAAGCUGGCUCCAUUGAGAUGACCAAGGCAGAUUCUGAACUUGAUUACUUAGAAAUUGAAAAAGAGAAGAGUCCCCCAGAAGAGGACAGUGACCAGGAACUCUGACUGGACUCUGAACAGAGAUUGACAUCAACAACCAUCUAUGCCAUGUUCCAGCCAUCUUUCUAACCAUGCCAUCAAAACAUUGUCAGUCUGUUUGGAGAUAGGGAGGCCCUCCCUUUCAUUCUUACAAGCAGAACCAAAUUUGUAAAAUCGAAGGCUUUCAUGGCCGGCAUCCAUAGUUUUUUGUGGUAUUUUCGGGCUAUGUGGCCAUGUUCUAGCAGAGUUUCUUUCUCACGUUUCACCAGCAUCUGUGGCUUUGGCAUCUUCAGAGAAGCAAAUUUCCCAUGAAAGUUUUUGAAAACUAUAAAGGUCCUGUAGGUCCAUUUUGAAAACAAAGAAAUAAGAAGUCUAGGUGCGUGUGGACUAUAGUUUAAUAUCACUUUUAACGUCAUGGCUGCCUUCUAUGGAAUUGUGGUAUCAGUAGUUUGGUGAGGUACUUGAAAUCCUUUGCUAGAGACCUCUGGUUGUGUUGGGAUAUAGCAACUUCGCAUGCUGAUACCUUCUAGUAAUGCAUGUCUAUGGUAUUUUAUUGCUUACUAACAACCCCUACUCAUUACCCCUCCUUAUUUCCUGUUUACCCAUGAGGACGCCUAACCUUUUGUUCCCAAGAAGAAGAAGAAAGCAAGGAUGAGUCGCCAUUACUACCUACUUACCUACUAAUCUCCUUGCCUGUGUCUGAAGCUGAUGAAAGGAUGCUCAGGCAGCAUCUUUUCCUGAGAUGCAUGUAGACUACAUUUCUACCUCAUUUUUUCUUGCAACAUGAAGUUAGACCUGUGUAUCUCUUCAUACACAUGAUUUUGUAAGUAAACUUAUUUCUUUUUCACUUUUAACAAGUGACUAUGUUUUUAUUGGGGACACGUGGGCUGGAAAGAAAAGUGGAGCUAGUUGAGUUUUCCUGCUUGCCUCAUAUUCCGCUGUGUGAACUCUGCUAGUAAGAUUAAACAAUCUUGCUUACUUUCCUGAGUUUCUAACGAUCCUCAAGAAAGAAGGUUGCUUACCUGUAACAGUAUUUCUUCGAGUGGUCAUCUGGACGAUCACAACGUCUGCAUCGGGAUGCCUUUCCAUCAACCUCAGCCUCAAUUGACUUUAACAACCGAUGCUUCCCUGGAGGGCUGGGGCGCCCACCUGCUCGACUUGGUUGUCAAGGACAGAUGGUCCCCUCGAGACAAGCUUUUCCACAUCAAUGGUCUGGAGAUGCUGGCAGUCGAGAAGGCACUGAGGUCAUUCGAAUUCGCUGUUGCGGGCAAGGUAGUCCUCCUGAGGACGGACAACACCACAGUGAUGUAUUACAUCAACAAACAGGGGGGCCCCAGAUCCAGGACCCUGCUCGACCUCACUUUGAGCAUCUGGAACUGGUGCAUCCAGAGA